GUGUCUGUUUUCAUUUCCUGUUGUGUAGUAAGAGUAGUGGAGUUGUGCUGUAACCUUAUAUAUUUUGUUUGGGAUUUUUAAGUUCUCAUAUUGAAAUACCAAAGCAACAGAGUCUACAAAACAAGAAAAAUAUAUUAUAUUAGAUCUGUGAGCGACUCAACAUAGCCGUAUCUCGACCACGUAAAGGAUACAGUUUUAAGUAUCACUAUACUGUAGUUGACUCACUGCAUAUCUGUUACUUCUGCUGGGUGAAGAAGAAACAUCUGUUCAGAUACCACAG